GGUAACUGACGCUGAGGCACGAAAGCGCGGGGAGCAAACAGGAGUAGAGACUCGGGGAGGCGCCGCUGUAAACGAGGAGUACUGGGUGGCGGGGGUUACCCCCUGCGGUGCCGCUGCUAACGCAUGAAGUACUCCGCCGGGGAAGUACGCUCGCAAGAGUGAAACUCAAAGGAAUGGACGGGGACCCGGACAAGUGGCGGAGCAUGUGGUGUAAGUCGAAGCAACGCGAAGAACCUUACCUAAGCUUGACAUCCCAAUGACAUCUCCUUAAUCGGAGAGUUCCCUUCGGGGACAUUGGUGACAGGUGGUGCAUGGUUGUCGUCAGCUCGUGUCGUG
rnacentral:rRNA from 1 species